AGAAGUGAGCCACACGCCGAGAGCAGGAUCCCGGUGGGAGAGGAGCUGCGUGCGGGAGGGAGGCAGGAACGGCCGGGCGGGGCUGCCCAGGGGAUCGGGGGAGCCCUCGCCCGAAGCGUGGCCAGAAUCUCUCCGGUCUGAAAUCCGGGCAAGGAGAUGAGGACUGGGCACACUGAAAUGCCCUCGGUGUCUGCUGUUCUGCAAGGAGAGAGAGUGGAGCUCUCCUGAAGGGAAUGAGGAACACCUAAGCAACCCAAUGGCCGAAGUCGCUGACAUCUAGAAUCAAAGGCUGUUGAGAAAAUCUGCAGUUGUGCUGUGAUGCAGCAAAACAUGAAACUAUGCUGAUCUACAUUACCGGUUCCUGGGCUGGCUUCUCUCCUGCUGUCACUGAGAAAGUAAUUUAUGCACAACCACUAGGGCACAUGAGGUUCAGCAAGUAUUUGCAAACACAAAAGCCAGGAGAGACACUCUCCUGCACAUGUGAAAUCUGCUGCUUGCUUUCUUGUCUGUCCAACAAGGGCAUUACAAAUCAUAACACAGAUUAUUUUUCAGCACCUGCACUUACCUCAUUUUCUCCCUGUGGGGCUCAAGCAGAUCACCAGGACCCCCCAGAACCAGGGCAUUCCAUUCACCACUCCUUCCAAAGCAGGAUAAACAAUCUGGUUCAUAUGUUGUGGGGGAGGGGAGGAAGAGGGUGUAUAUUCCUCAGGCAUAAGUGCCAAAUGUAGAAAAAUCAGCAGUUUAACAAUAGUAGAGAGUGUCUUCAAAGAGGAAUGCUUUUUAUCAAUAUGACUAAAC